rnacentral:rRNA from 1 species
CUCGGUGGUGAUUGCGAUGGGGCUCUACCUCUUCCCAUUCCGAACAGAGAAGUAAAACUCAUCAGCGCCGAAAAUACUAGUUUUAACUGGGAAGAUAGGUCGCCGCCGGGA